UGGGGAAUAUUGGACAAUGGGCGCAAGCCUGAUCCAGCCAUGCCGCGUGAGUGAUGACGGCCUUAGGGUUGUAAAGCUCUUUCGCUCGGGACGCGUUGGCUAACAUCCAACGCCUUGACGGUACCGGGAGAAGAAGCACCGGCUAACUCU
rnacentral:rRNA from 1 species